rnacentral:tRNA from 1 species
GGGGUGUAGCUGAGUGGCAGAGCACUUGCCUCCCAUGCACAAGGCCCUGGGUUCAAACCCCAGCACCACCA